UAUGAAGGGGGCUAGCGUUGCUCGGAAUUACUGGGCGUAAAGGGCGCGUAGGCGGCACUGUUAGUCAGGCGUGAAAGUCCUGGGCUCAACCUGGGAACUGCGCUUGAUACGGCAGAGCUAGAGGAUGGAAGAGGCUCGCGGAAUUCCCAGUGUAGAGGUGAAAUUCGUAGAUAUUGGGAAGAACACCGGUGGCGAAGGCGGCGAGCUGGUCCAUUACUGACGCUGAGGCGCGACAGCGUGGGGAGCAAACAGG
rnacentral:rRNA from 1 species